GUCUACAGCCACACCACCCUGAACGCGCCCAAUCUCUUCUGAUCUUGGAAGCUAAGCAGGGUCUAGCCUGGUUAGUACUUGGAAGGGAGACAAUGCACCCUAAAGC
rfam:Fukomys damarensis contig142005, whole genome shotgun sequence.